GCCAAUGUGGUGUAGUGGUUUAGUGUUGGACUAUGACUCUGGAGGCCAGGGUUCAAAUCCCAGCUCAACCA